AUUGAACGCUGGCGGCAGGCCUAACACAUGCAAGUCGAACGGUAACAGGAAGAAGCUUGCUUCUUUGCUGACGAGUGGCGGACGGGUGAGUAAUGUCUGGGAAACUGCCUGAUGGAGGGGGAUAACUACUGGAAACGGUAGCUAAUACCGCAUAACGUCGCAAGACCAAAGAGGGGGACCUUCGGGCCUCUUGCCAUCGGAUGUGCCCAGAUGGGAUUAGCUAGUAGGUGGGGUAACGGCUCACCUAGGCGACGAUCCCUAGCUGGUCUGAGAGGAUGACCAGCCACACUGGAACUGAGACACGGUCCAGACUCCUACGGGAGGCAGCAGUGGGGAAUAUUGCACAAUGGGCGCAAGCCUGAUGCAGCCAUGACGCGUGUAUGAAGAAGGCCUUCGGGUUGUAAAGUACUUUCAGCGGGGAGGAAGGGAGUAAAGUUAAUACCUUUGCUCAUUGACGUUACCCGCAGAAGAAGCACCGGCUAACUCCGUG
rnacentral:rRNA from 1 species